GGCAGGCAAAGAGUGAGGAUAUCUCGGGCCUCCUGAAUCUUCACUACAGCUUCUCCAUUCUUGUGGAUAGCAGAAAAUGCUCGGGAAACCCACACCUCCCUUCAAGUGGUAGGAAAAAGGCUUUGCAGAGGCGUGUUCCUCGGUUAUCUGCCGUGUGGUGGGGAGUAUGUCUGAGCUCUCCCAGUGGGCAGAUUACUGAGGUGGCUAUACAUGUCAGAGACACCAUCUAGAAUUUGCACUCCUGGAGGCAACGGGAAGGUCGAGCCUGGGCAAGCCCCUGGAUGGCAUGUAAAUACACCAUACCCUCUUUACUCAAAGUGUGAUCCCCAGACCAGCAGCGUUACCGGGAGUUUGUUAGAGACUCAGGACCGCAGGCCCCAGUUUGAGAAGUGUCUGUAUACUACACUUUUCCUAAAUCCAGGUUUUCCAAGCUGGGCACCGUGGACAUUUGGGGCUGGAUCAUUCUCUGCCGUGGGGGCGUCCUGUGCACUGUGGGAUGUUGACCAAUAUCCCUGGCCCCUACCCACUAGAUGCCAGGAGCACCUCCAGUUGUGACACCAAAAACAUCUGUAGACGUGACAAAACGUCCGUGCUCUAGACUCCUGAUUGCCACACCUGUCUGCAUAGCAGAGCCUCCUGGGAGCUCUAUAAAAAGACAAGCAGACCACAGACUCCUGGGCCCCAGGGCAUGGAAUCUCUGGGGAGAAGCCCUGAAGGCAUGAUUUUAAAUGUUCCCCAGGGUAUUGGUGAUCGACUUGUGAAUAAACAAAAACUUAAUCAACUGUACAUUUUAAAAGGGUGAACUUUAUAGAAUGUCAAUUUUGUGUCAAAGCUGGUAUUAAAAGUAAAAAAGCUCCCAGGUGAUUCUGACACCAUCACCCAGCACAUGCCCCUCACAGCAACUGGGGACCCCCAAGCUUAUGGACCCUGAGGGUCCCCUGGGUGUUUGAAGCAACUGUUCUGGAGGAGGGCCCAGGAAUCUGAUUUUUAUUAAGUGCCCCAGGCAAGAUGAGAACCCAGAGCAGGAGGGGCAGAGGGCAGGGCUGGAGCUGGGGCCUGGCGACCUGGGGACUUUGCAGCAAUGCAGAGGCCCUGCCAGGUGUGCUGGGAGCCCCCGGAUCCAAGCAUCUCUCCAGCACAGGAAGGGCUGAAAAGUGGGCUGGACAAACUCGAGGGGAGCUGGAGGUGGGCCCACACGGUGCGAAUGGAGAAGCUGGAACUCUCCUCAGCUGCCCCAAGCCUGGAAGCUCAGAAGCAAAACUGAAGGCGUCAGUCACCAUCCACCACACGUUCAAGUGUAAACUAGCUAAAAAGCAAAGGUGCUGACGUACAAACCGGAGAGACUCACAGUUACAGCUAUCCUCAGCUGUCCUUCCUCUCCGGCGCUCCUGGGAGCCGCCCAAGCAGCACACACGGGAAAUCUGGCCUUGUUACCUCAAAGUCCGGCCUCUUCCAGGCUUGGUCACCCCCUACCUGACCACCGGACUUGAGCUCUAAAUGAUUUUGUUUCCAAAAUUCCACUCUAAAAAACACCAUUUGCACCCAUGACGUUGCUUCCAAGAUAGUGAUUUGCGCUCUGUGUGUCUCAUUUCUUCAGAGGAGACGCGGCAGCAUGUGGGAAUGACGGUCCGGCCUCCCCAGUGACAAGCGGUAGAUGUGCCCUUCUGGUCUGCUGUUAAAAGAUUGGGGCGUGGUUAUCUUAGGGGUUUGCAAACUCGUUGUCCCCUGAUUGGCUGGCACGGUGUUUUACAUCUUUUUGACUUAUCUGCCAACAUUCUAAAAUCAGAAGGGUUUACAUGAAAAGCCUUGCUUCUGGUUGGUCCUGGAAAUUUGUAACAUCUGCCCAAGUUCCCUCAAGGCCACAACUGGCUGAAGCACCCAUCACAGUGGGGACACAACCUCGCCUGCCCUGGCCGACCAGCACUGGCCACCACGGACACACACGUGUCCAACUCUCGCCUCAGAAUCAGCUGGAAUCUCUGAAGGGGAUCUUGCUUUCCCCAGGAGCCGUGGAAGUACAUGCCCUGCUCAGUGGGGUGGAGGCAGCACCCGGGGGAUGCAGACAGGCAGGGCUCCUCCUUCAGACGGCUCUAAAAAGAGAAGAGCUGUUCUCUGCCCAGAUUGUCUCAGACGAAGGGCCGCUGCGGGUUCCCAGGGUCCUUGCAGGGUUCUCCGAGAACAUAUCGCGGCCGGCCGCAGAAAAGCACGCUGUUCCCAAGGCUGGCCCCCAAACCCGGCGGCAGGCAGGGCUGCUGUGGCCCUGGAGUCUCCGAGGGGCUUUUCAUAGCAGGACACCUCUGAGGACAGACGAGUGCUUUGACUCUGGUGCCUUCCCAGUGUCGCUGUUGGGGAGGGAGGCCACCUGAGUUGGCCAAAAGGAGAUCUUUUGAGGCAAGACUAUUUCCAAUUCCUGCAUCUGGAAAUGUCUCUGGUUGCUUAGCCA
rnacentral:lncRNA from 1 species